GCCCAGGUGCUGAAAUUGGUAGACAGGCAUGGUUGAGGGCCAUGUGUUCUUAUGGACGUGCGGGUUCGAGUCCCGCUCUGGGCACUA
rnacentral:tRNA from 1 species